rnacentral:rRNA from 1 species
AAUGAACGCUGGCGGCAUGCCUUACACAUGCAAGUCGAACGGCAGCAUGACCUAGCUUGCUAGGUUGAUGGCGAGUGGCGAACGGGUGAGUAAUGCAUCGGAACGUGCCUUUUAGUGGGGGAUAACGUAGCGAAAGUUACGCUAAUACCGCAUAUUCUCUGAGGAGGAAAGCAGGGGACCUUCGGGCCUUGCGCUAGAAGAGCGGCCGAUGUCGGAUUAGCUAGUUGGUGAGGUAAAGGCUCACCAAGGCAACGAUCCGUAGCGGGUCUGAGAGGAUGAUCCGCCACACUGGGACUGAGACACGGCCCAGACUCCUACGGGAGGCAGCAGUGGGGAAUUUUGGACAAUGGGCGCAAGCCUGAUCCAGCCAUGCCGCGUGAGUGAAGAAGGCCUUCGGGUUGUAAGGCUCUUUCGGCUGGGAAGAAAUCGCACCCUCUAAUACAGGGUGUGGAUGACGGUACCAGCAUAAGAAGCACCGGCUAACUACGUG